GACGAACGCUGGCGGCGUGCUUAACACAUGCAAGUCGAACGGAAAGGCCCUGCUUUUGUGGGGUGCUCGAGUGGCGAACGGGUGAGUAACACGUGAGUAACCUGCCCUUGACUUUGGGAUAACUUCAGGAAACUGGGGCUAAUACCGGAUAGGAGCUCCUGCUGCAUGGUGGGGGUUGGAAAGUUUCGGCGGUUGGGGAUGGACUCGCGGCUUAUCAGCUUGUUGGUGGGGUAGUGGCUUACCAAGGCUUUGACGGGUAGCCGGCCUGAGAGGGUGACCGGGCACAUUGGGACUGAGAUACGGCGCAGACUCCUACGGUAGGCAGCAGUGGGGAGUAUUGCACAAUGGGCGGAAGCCUGAUGCGGCAACGCCGCGUGCGGGAUGACGGCCUUCGGGUUGAGAACCGCUUUCGCCUGUGACGAAGCGUGAGUGACGGUAAUGGGUAAAGAAGCACCGGCUAACUACGUG
rnacentral:rRNA from 1 species